CGGGGCGUAGCGCAGUUGGCAGCGCGGUUGCUUUGGGAGCAUCAGGUCGCAGAUUCGAUUUCUGCCGCCCCGACCA
rnacentral:tRNA from 2 species